rnacentral:rRNA from 1 species
UACAGAGGUCUCGAGCGUUAGGCGGAAUCACUGGGCUUAAAGCGUGUGUAGGCGGAUCGGUAAGUACCUUGUGAAAUCCCACAGCUCAACUGUGGAACUGCUUGGUAUACUGCCAGUCUUGAGCCAGCUAGGGGCUACCGGAACAAAUGGUGGAGCGGUGAAAUGCGUAGAUAUCAUUUGGAACGCCAAUGGUGAAAACAGGUAGCUGGGGCUGUGCUGACGCUGAGACACGAAAGCCAGGGGAGCAAACGGG